UCAUAUCCACACCAGAUAAAUGUUACGAACAGAUAGUUGGGAGACACCGAUAUGAAGACAGAUGUUGAUUUAUUUGAAACAGCAGAGUAAACUAAGGUCGCAUAUAAUAGAUGGUUAUGAGGAUGUUUGGAAUGAACACAGAUACUGUCCUUUGCUUAUGGAUCUGUAUGUGAUGGUGGGUUGGUUAGUAAUGAAACCACACAGGAGUGAAGCACCCGUUAGAGCGGAUACACCCUGGAGUGGAAUGGAAGGAGACACAGGCUGGAGUGGGAACACACAGGAGCCGGAUGGAGUAGAACCACGAUGGAAUGAAGACAGAACACACUGAAGCCGACUCACUGUUAGUGGCCAUUGUCAUCAAGAGGAGUCCUUCUAGUCUUGAACAAGACCGGACAAUUGACUGGGAUGCUGAUGCAUUGGACUGUCAACCAACUGCUGUCAAGUAUACAUCAUCAGGCACGAUUGUCUAAAACAAAAAGUGACAAAAAGAACAAUUUUAUGAAGCCCUACACGUACCAUCACAAUAUGACGAAACAAUAAGAUGGGGAUUCUUUAAUGAAGAUGACAAAGAAAAUACAGCCCGGAUGACUGACUAUGCCGAAUGUCCUGGACAACAAAAUUUCACAUUCCUAACACAAGAAGCAGAAGAGGCUGCUUUAGGAAUCAACACUGAUGAACAAGAGGACAAACCUCAUAAGACGAUGGAGGAAACUGCUGUCACAGCCUCUACCGCCACAUGCUAUGAACAUUUUGAAAGCAACCACACACCUGAGUAUUGAAAAUAUCAUCUCAAGAAAAAUUAGAGGAUUGCUGGGGAUGUCACAUUAAACAUCCAAGACCCUUUGUUUUACCCACUCACCCACCCACUCACUGUUUUGAUCACACCCUCGAUCUUGUUCUGGUAUAUGGCAUUAAAAUUGAACAUUUAAUAGUCUUUCCACAGAAUCCUUCAUUAUCGGACUAUUAUUUAAUAACUUUUGAACUCCUGUUACUGGACUACAUGCCAUUAGGCAAAAACUCCUACUCUAAAUGUCUAUCUGAUAGUGUUGUAGCUAAAUUUAUA